UGUCCGGGUGUGUAAAAUACACCUGUUAGCAAGGGCCGGGCAAGACCGGUGCCAGCCGCCGCGGUAACACCGGCGGCCCGAGUGGUGAUCGUGAUUAUUGGGUCUAAAGGGUCCGUAGCCGGUUUGGUCAGUCCUCCGGNAAAUCUGAUNGCUCAACUAUUAGGCUUUCGGGGGAUACUGCCAGACUUGGAACCGGGAGAGGUAAGAGGUACUACAGGGGUAGGAGUGAUAUCAAUCCCUGUGCCACCACCUGUGGCGAAGGCGUCUUACCAGAACGGGUUCGACGGUGAGGGACGAAAGCUGGGGGCACGAACCGGAUUAGAUACCCGGGUAGUCCCAGCCGUAAACGAUGCUCGCUAGGUGUCAGGCAUGGCGCGACCGUGUCUGGU
rnacentral:rRNA from 1 species